GAUGAAGAACGCAGCGAAAUGCGAUAAGUAAUGCGAAUUGCAGAAUUCCGUGAGUCAUCGAAUCUUUGAACGCACAUUGCGCCCGCCAGUAUUCUGGCGGGCAUGCCUGUUCGAGCGUCAUUUCAACCAUCAAGCCCCAGGCUUGUGUUGGGGACCUGCGGCUGCCGCAGGCCCUGAAAACCAGUGGCGGGCUCGCUAGUCACACCGAGCGUAGUAGCAUACACAUCGCUCAGGGCGUGCUGCGGGUUCCGGCCGUUAAACCCCUUUUUUACCCAAGGUUGACCUCGGAUCAGGUAGGAAGACCCGCUGAACUUAAGCAUAUCAAUAAGCGGAGGA
rnacentral:misc_RNA from 1 species